CCUACGGGAGGCAGCAGUGAGGAAUAUUGGUCAAUGGACGAGAGUCUGAACCAGCCAAGUAGCGUGAAGGAUGACUGCCCUAUGGGUUGUAAACUUCUUUUAUAUGGGAAUAAAAUGUUCCACGUGUGGGAUUUUGUAUGUACCAUAUGAAUAAGGAUCGGCUAACUCCGUGCCAGCAGCCGCGGUAAUACGGAGGAUCCGAGCGUUAUCCGGAUUUAUUGGGUUUAAAGGGAGCGUAGGUGGAUUGUUAAGUCAGUUGUGAAAGUUUGCGGCUCAACCGUAAAAUUGCAGUUGAAACUGGCAGUCUUGAGUACAGUAGAGGUGGGCGGAAUUCGUGGUGUAGCGGUGAAAUGCUUAGAUAUCACGAAGAACUCUGAUUGCGAAGGUAGUUCACUGGACUGCAACUGACACUGAGGCUCGAAAGUGUGGGUAUCAAACAGGAUUAGAUACCCUAGUAGUC
rnacentral:rRNA from 1 species